GAUGAACGCUGGCGGCGUGCCUAAUACAUGCAAGUCGAGCGAACAGACGAGGAGCUUGCUCCUCUGACGUUAGCGGCGGACGGGUGAGUAACACGUGGAUAACCUACCUAUAAGACUGGGAUAACUUCGGGAAACCGGAGCUAAUACCGGAUAAUAUAUUGAACCGCAUGGUUCAAUAGUGAAAGACGGUCUUGCUGUCACUUAUAGAUGGAUCCGCGCUGCAUUAGCUAGUUGGUAAGGUAACGGCUUACCAAGGCGACGAUGCGUAGCCGACCUGAGAGGGUGAUCGGCCACACUGGAACUGAGACACGGUCCAGACUCCUACGGGAGGCAGCAGUAGGGAAUCUUCCGCAAUGGGCGAAAGCCUGACGGAGCAACGCCGCGUGAGUGAUGAAGGUCUUCGGAUCGUAAAACUCUGUUAUUAGGGAAGAACAAAUGUGUAAGUAACUAUGCACAUCUUGACGGUACCUAAUCAGAAAGCCACGGCUAACUACGUG
rnacentral:rRNA from 1 species